rnacentral:rRNA from 1 species
AGACGAACCGUCCAAACGUUAUUCGGAAUCACUGGGCUUAAAGGGUGCGUAGGCGGCGCGGAAAGUUGGGUGUGAAAUCCCUCGGCUCAACCGAGGAACUGCGCCCAAAACUGCCGUGCUCGAGGGAGAUAGAGGUGAGCGGAACUUAGGGUGGAGCGGUGAAAUGCGUUGAUAUCCUAAGGAACACCGGUGGCGAAAGCGGCUCACUGGAUCUCUUCUGACGCUGAGGCACGAAAGCUAGGGUAGCGAACGGGAUUAGAUACCCCGGUAGUCCUAGCCGUAAACGAUGAGCACUGGAUUGGAGGGUCCUCCAUAGCCUUCCAGUCGCAACGAAAGCGUUAAGUGCUCCGCCUGGGGAGUAUGGUCGCAAGGCUGAA